UAGUUCAGUUGGUAGAACGCUACCUUGCCAUGGUAGAGGUCGCGGGCAGUUAAGCUCAGUAACGCCGAAAGUAGUUGGAGGAUCGCUUCCUGCG
rnacentral:tRNA from 1 species